rnacentral:rRNA from 1 species
GGACUACCAGGGUUUCUAAUCCUGUUUGCUCCCCACGCUUUCGUGCCUGAGCGUCAAUCUCAGCCCAGGGGGCUGCCUUCGCCAUCGGUGUUCCGCCGCAUCUCUACGCAUUUCACUGCUACACGCGGCAUUCCACCCCCCUCUGCCAGAUUCCAGUCCCCUAGUUUCCACUGCCAUUCCCAGGUUGAGCCCGGGGCUUUCACAACGGACUUGGAGAACCGCCUGCGCACGCUUUACGCCCAGUAAUUCCGAUUAACGCUCGCACCCUACGUAUUACCGCGGCGGCUGGCAC